UUACAAGUAUUUAUGUCUUCCUCUUCACUUCUAUUCACAGAUUCAUUAAACCGACAAUAAAGUUUUGAGUCUUUGACCUUCACUGAUCUUUCUCUCACACUCUCAUAAUUAGAUCAGCCACAAUGGUCUGUGGAAGGGACGCUUCGGAGAUGGGGUAGGAGGUUGCCCAAGCUGCAAAGAAGACGGGACGCCUUGCCUAAACACAUGGCAGCACUGUUUCCGUUCGACGCCAGAAGUCUACCGGAGAGAUUUUUCACGGCGAGACCUUUAGUGACAUGAUUCACAAUCACCGGGAAGAGAAUUGCUGGUGAAACAAAAAAAACUUCAAACUUUAACAAGUCUCUGAUUUUGUUAGGGAUCAAACAUUUGUAUCUCCGAGAAUUGCCUCGCAUUGCAUCAUUGUCAAGGAUUUGUCUCUAUGAUGUUCCUGAAAGGUAAAGCCUCUCCAGAGAUGUUUACCUGAGUUUUCCAUGAGAGGAGAGCCUGACCUUCUUUAUUUAUAUGGAGAAACAUGGGAUGGAAAUAAAGCAGAGGAGUUUAGGAAAGGAAGAAGAAAGAACAAAAAAAAGUGUGUUAUGUGGGUAUCUUCAUAUGAGUCAUGAGUCUCUUACACAUGUUUUUUAAAUGAAAUUGUGAAUUGGUUUAUAU